rnacentral:rRNA from 1 species
GACAGAGGUGGCGAGCGUUGUUCGGAUUUACUGGGCGUAAAGCGUGGGUAGGCGGUUCGGUCAGUCAGAUGUGAAAUCCCAUCGCUCAACGGUGGAACUGCGUCUGAUACUGCCAAACUUGAGUGCAGGAGAGGAGGGUGGAAUUUCCGGUGUAGCGGUGAAAUGCGUAGAUAUCGGAAGGAACACCAGUGGCGAAGGCGGCCCUCUGGACUGCAACUGACGCUGAGACACGAAAGCGUGGGGAGCAAACAGG